rnacentral:rRNA from 1 species
AGUGAACGCUGGCGGUAGGCCUAACACAUGCAAGUCGAACGGCAGCACAGUAAGAGCUUGCUCUUACGGGUGGCGAGUGGCGGACGGGUGAGGAAUACAUCGGAAUCUACUUUUUCGUGGGGGAUAACGUAGGGAAACUACGCUAAUACCGCAUACGACCUACGGGUGAAAGCAGGGGAUCUUCGGACCUUGCGCGAUUGAAUGAGCCGAUGUCGGAUUAGCUAGUUGGCGGGGUAAAGGCCCACCAAGGCGACGAUCCGUAGCUGGUCUGAGAGGAUGAUCAGCCACACUGGAACUGAGACACGGUCCAGACUCCUACGGGAGGCAGCAGCGGGGAAUAUUGGACAAUGGGCGCAAGCCUGAUCCAGCCAUACCGCGUGGGUGAAGAAGGCCUUCGGGUUGUAAAGCCCUUUUGUUGGGAAAGAAAAGCAGCAGGUUAAUACCCCGCUGUUCUGACGGUACCCAAAGAAUAAGCACCGGCUAACUUCGUG